rnacentral:misc_RNA from 1 species
AAACAAGGAUGUGAAGUAUAAACUAAACAAAGAACUUACACACAAAUUACAAACAAGGAUCUUUACGAAAGUAUGGCGACAGUCUCAUCAGAAAUUCAGGACAAUUGUACUCCUAUUGCUAGGGUGCUAAUAGCAGAAGAUUUUUGGAAGCCAAUUGAAACUACUUACCUGGAUUGCAUUGUGCACCGCCAAGUCUACCAUGAAGCCAACCAA